rnacentral:tRNA from 1 species
GCAACGCGGCUCGGACGGUAAGAGGUCGGUUUGCUAAACCGAAGCCGGAUGAAAGUCCGAAAAGGUUCGACUCCUUUGCGUUGCGCCA